UGGGGAAUUUUGGACAAUGGGGGAAACCCUGAUCCAGCCAUCCCGCGUGUGCGAUGAAGGCCUUCGGGUUGUAAAGCACUUUUUGCAGGAAAGAAACGUCAUGGGUUAAUACCCCGUGAAACUGACGGUACCUGCAGAAUAAGCACCGGCUAACUACGUGCCAGCAGCCGCGGUAAUACGUAGGGUGCAAGCGUUAAUCGGAAUUACUGGGCGUAAAGCGUGCGCAGGCGGUUCGGAAAGAAAGAUGUGAAAUCCCAGAGCUCAACGUUGGAACUGCAUUUUUAACUACCGGGCUAGAGUGUGUCAGAGGGAGGUGGAAUUCCGCGUGUAGCAGUGAAAUGCGUAGAUAUGCGGAGGAACACCGAUGGCGAAGGCAGCCUCCUGGGAUAACACUGACGCUCAUGCACGAAAGCGUGGGGAGCAAACAGG
rnacentral:rRNA from 1 species